rnacentral:misc_RNA from 1 species
UACUGUACAAAUCUUGGAUUAGGAAUUAUCUGAUCAAUAAUACAAUUAUUUACUCUCUCUCUCUCUCUCUGGAGGAGUGUACAAGCAAUCAUUCUCAUUCAUAAACAGGAAGAAACCCAAACAUAAUUAAAGAAAGUCAUCCACCUAUAGUGGUUUAGGCAAUGAUUCUCAUACCCACGCUAACAUUCCAUUUCAUGCUGUUUAUCAUAUGGACCCAAGUUUACCCCACAUUUUCAUCUUUGGUACUCUUUCGUAAGUUCUAUAUCAUCAUUGAAAAAUUCCAGCAACCGUCCUGAAAAAUCCAAAUCAAACGGCAACUAAUGAAUAAAAAAACUACAUGAUCUCUGAGUCAUAGCUUGAACUCUAUUGGAUGACAUGCCUUUUUUCUGGAUACCCUGUCAUGACCAAAUGGAAAGAAUGAUCUCUGAACUCUGUUACUACUUUCUUCGUUACUGCUAAUCCCUCU